rnacentral:rRNA from 1 species
CAGCAGCCGCGGGAAUACGUAGGGUGCGAGCGUUGAUCGGAAUUACUGGGCGUAAAGCGUGCGCAGGCGGUUGUGUAAGACAGGUGUGAAAUCCCCGGGCUUAACCUGGGAACUGCGCUUGUGACUGCACAGCUAGAGUAUGGCAGAGGGGGGUGGAAUUCCACGUGUAGCAGUGAAAUGCGUAGAGAUGUGGAGGAAUACCGAUGGCGAAGGCAGCCCCCUGGGCCAAUACUGACGCUCAUGCACGAAAGCGUGGGGAGCAAACAGGAUUAGAUACCCCAGUAGUCCCUGUCUCUUAUAC